CUUGAUAUCUUACACAGACUACA
rnacentral:miRNA from 1 species